rnacentral:rRNA from 1 species
CGGACGGGUGAGUAACGCGUGGGUAACCUGCCUCAUACAGGGGGAUAACAGUUAGAAAUGACUGCUAAUACCGCAUAAGACCACAGCACCGCAUGGUGCGGGGGUAAAAACUCCGGUGGUAUGAGAUGGACUCGCGUCUGAUUAGCUAGUUGGUAAGGUAACGGCUUACCAAGGCGACGAUCAGUAGCCGACCUGAGAGGUUGAACGGCCACAUUGGGACUGAGACACGGCCCAG